UACGUAGGGUGCGAGCGUUGUCCGGAAUUAUUGGGCGUAAAGAGCUCGUAGGCGGUUUGUUGCGUCGGCCGUGAAAACCUGCAGCUUAACUGUGGGCCUGCGGCCGAUACGGGCAGACUUGAGUUCGGUAGGGGAGACUGGAAUUCCUGGUGUAGCGGUGAAAUGCGCAGAUAUCAGGAGGAACACCGGUGGCGAAGGCGGGUCUCUGGGCCGAUACUGACGCUCAGGCACGAAAGCGUGGGGAGCAAACAGG
rnacentral:rRNA from 1 species